rnacentral:rRNA from 1 species
GAUGAACGCUAGCGGCAGGCCUAAUACAUGCAAGUCGAACGGUUAUAUUGAUUAGCAAUAAUUGGUGUAAUAGUGGCGCACGGGUGCGUAACGCGUAUGCAACCUACCUCUAACUGGGGGAUAACCCCGGGAAACUGGGAUUAAUACCGCAUACCACUGAGGGUCGGCAUCGAUUUUCAGUGAAAGAUUUAUCGGAUACAGAUGGGCAUGCGCAGGAUUAGCUAGUUGGUGUGGUAACGGCACACCAGGGCGACGAUCCUUAGGGGCUCUGAGAGGAGUAACCCCCACACUGGCACUGAGAUACGGGCCAGACUCCUACGGGAGGCAGCAGUAGGGAAUAUUGGGGCAAUGGAGGCAACUCUGACCCAGCCAUGCCGCGUGCAGGAAGACGGCCCUCUGGGUUGUAAACUGCUUUUAAGUAGGAGGAAAGUGCAGCUUGCGAGCUGUUUGAUGUUACUACUAGAAUAAGCCACGGCUAACUACGUGCC